rnacentral:rRNA from 1 species
AUUGAACGCUGGCGGCAUGCCUUACACAUGCAAGUCGAACGGUAACAGGUUAAGCUGACGAGUGGCGAACGGGUGAGUAAUGUAUCGGAACGUGCCCAGUCGUGGGGGAUAACUGCUCGAAAGAGCAGCUAAUACCGCAUACGACCUGAGGGGGAAAGCGGGGGAUCGCAAGACCUCGCGCGAUUGGAGCGGCCGAUAUCAGAUUAGGUAGUUGGUGAGGUAAAGGCUCACCAAGCCGACGAUCUGUAGCUGGUCUGAGAGGACGACCGGCCACACGGGAACUGAGACACGGCCCAGACUCCUACGGGAGGCAGCAGUGGGGAAUUUUGGGCAAUGGGCGCAAGCCUGAUCCAGCCAUGCCGCGUGCGGGAAGAAGGCCUUCGGGUUGUAAACCGCUUUUGUCAGGGAAGAAAAGGUUCUGGCUAAUACCUGGGACUCAUGACGGUACCUGAAGAAUAAGCACCGGCUAACUACGUG